rnacentral:rRNA from 1 species
UACGUAGGGUGCGAGCGUUGUCCGGAAUUAUUGGGCGUAAAGAGCUUGUAGGUGGCUCGUCGCGUCGGGAGUGAAAACCCGCGGCUUAACCGCGGGCCUGCUUUCGAUACGGGCGGGCUAGAGUUCGGCAGGGGAGACUGGAAUUCCUGGUGUAGCGGUGAAAUGCGCAGAUAUCAGGAGGAACACCGGUGGCGAAGGCGGAUCUCUGGGCCAUUACUGACGCUGAGGAGCGAAAGCGUGGGGAGCGAACAGG